UUCGCUUUUAUCUCUCAAUCUGUUGAUAAACAUUGUGCUCCAUAGUAUUUGUAUAUCAUCUUUUCAUAUAAUUUAUAUUUUUUUAUUUAUCGUAUUGCUUUCUUUUUCGUUUUUUUUGUUUUGGUGUUUUACAGCCAAGGGAUGCCGUUUUUGGCGAUGGGUGGGCUGGUGGCUUCAAUUGGAUUCGUCGAUUUCGACGCUUUUCGAUGAAUUUUCAAUGGAGGGAGGGUUUAUCCGGCGGAUUUCACCGUGAAGGUUACCAAUAGCAACAAUAAUGGUGUUUUACCGGCGAGUAUUAGUCGAAACCGAUCACAGGGGUUGAAUUUUAAUCGGUGGUUCGCUGAUUUUGCAGAUCCGGUGAGGGACAAGCUUGACCAUCGUUUUUAUGAAUUUUUUGGUGAUGUGGUAGCGGCUGG
rnacentral:lncRNA from 1 species